rnacentral:lncRNA from 1 species
GUGCGUGUGGAGGCAGCAUCUGCUCCUUGCCAGCCCCCACCCUGUUCAGCUGCUGUUUCCCACCUUCUUCUUUUCCACUGGGAAAUAACUUGAGGGUUUUAAAAAACUUUGUAUCCGGGAGGUGGAGCUUGCAGUGAACCGAGAUCGCGCCACUGCACUCNNNNNNNNNNAAAAAAAAAAAAAAAAAAAAACUUUGUAUCAGAGCGAAGAGGAUGGACCCAGGGUGUGUGGCUCCUGAGGGCCGGGCUGACACUCAGGCUGGGGUCUGCAGACUCCAUAGCUUGGGUCAGUCUCUCGGGAGACCCCACCCUCUCUAGCUCCUGUCACUCUCAUACACUCAGCUGCCUGUUAUCAGAGCACAUUGGGAGUCACUGUGGUAAUGACCGGCAAGAAGAUGGGAACAGGGAUGUCUGCUCUGCUCAGGUUUUUAUAAAACCCUGCGGAUUCUGUCUGCUCAGAAGCUGCA